AUGGUGCCACAGACUCUGUUCCUCAUGUCCCUGUUGCUCUGGGCCUCUGGUGCCAGUGGGGACAUUGUGCUGACCCAGUCUCCAGCCUCUCUGGCUAAGUCUCAAGGAGAAACGGUCACCAUCAACUGCAAGGCCAGCCAGAGGGUGAGCAGCUACUUAGCCUGGUACCAGCAGAAACCAGGACAGGCUCCUAAGCUGCUCAUCUACGAUGCAUCGAAACGGGUAUCUGGGGUCCCUGACCGGUUCAGUGGCAGAGGCUCUGGGACAGGCUUCACUCUCACCAUCAGCAACUUCCAGGCUGAUGAUGCCGCAGGUUAUUAUUGUCAGCAAUAUAAUAACGUACCUCCCACCGUGCUUCAGCCUGGAACACAAACCUCCCCCCGAGGGCUAUAG